AUUAAAUUAUAAAUUCAUGUUCAUGAGUGACUGGAGCGGAAUCAGGCCAUUCGGCCCAUCAGGAGCUCUCCGCCAUUCAAUCAUGGCUGAUCUAUCUUUCCUGCCCAACCCAAUUCUUCUCCCAUAAUUCCUGACACUCGUACAAAUCAAGAAUCUGUCUAUC